rnacentral:rRNA from 1 species
UGGCCGGUACAAAGGGCUGCGAUGCCGUAAGGUUAAGCGAAUCCUUUUAAAGCCGGUCUCAGUUCGGAUUGGGGUCUGCAACUCGACCCCAUGAAGUCGGAGUCGCUAGUAAUCGCAGAUCAGCAACGCUGCGGUGAAUACGUUCCCGGGCCUUGUACACACCGCCCGUCACGUCAUGAAAGUCGGUAACACCCGAAGCCAGUGGCCUAACCCUUUUGGGAGGGAGCUGUCGAAGGUGGGAUCGGCGAUUGGGACGAAGUCGUAACAAGGUAGCCGUACCGGAAGGUGCG